GCCUUCCUGUGAUUGGAUGUUGAUCUGCUGGGCCCCGCGUAUAACAAGCGAGAUGCGUCGCGCGUAAACUAGCAGGUGAAACACAACCGUGCAUGCCUCGUGUUAUCUCAGUUCCUAUUGGAACCUUCCAGACUCCGCCUCCAUUGGUCUCGCCCUACCAUCUUGUUCCUAGUCGGCGGAGGCAUUCUUCCUGCAAGAGGGGAGGAGGAUGACUCAUAUCCUUAUCUGAGAUCGAGGGAGGUCGACCGACAGAGGUCGCAAACCCGAAAGGCUCAGGUGAAGCAGAGAGACGACGGCCUGACCCCUGAACAGCGCCGCGAGAGGGAUGCGAAAGCGCUGCAGGAGAAGGCAGCUAAGAAGGCUGCAGGAGCAGCAGCAGGAGGGGGAGGCGCCACCGACUCCAAAAACAAA